AUAUCAAUAAGCGGAGGAAAAGAAACCAACAGGGAUUGCCUCAGUAACGGCGAGUGAAGCGGCAACAGCUCAAAUUUGAAAGCUGGCCUUCUGGCCCGCGUUGUAAUUUGCAGAGGAUGCUUCGGAUGCGGUCCGGCCUAAGUGCCUUGGAACAGGACGUCAUAGAGGGUGAGAACCCCGUAUGCGGCCGGGUGCCAACUCCAUGUGAAGCUCCUUCGACGAGUCGAGUUGUUUGGGAAUGCAGCUCUAAAUGGGUGGUAAAUUUCAUCUAAAGCUAAAUAUUGGCCAGAGACCGAUAGCGCACAAGUA
rnacentral:rRNA from 1 species